UCAUUUCUUCCCAUUUCUCUCUACUUAGAUUAUCCAAACAAAUAAGAGAAAUAUAUAUCACUCAAUUUCUUUUCUUUGCUCUCCAAAUCACUCAAUCCAAACAUAGCUUUACAGCCCGAGUUCUUUAACUAUUUCAGCUUCUCAAUUUGGCAUUUUUAUUUUUAUUUUUUUAUUACCCCGUUUCCCACCUUUGUCUCCUUUGUUUUGUAUUAGCAAUUGUUUUGCAUUACCUUCCACUCUCACAAUAAUUUGUUUCCACCCUGGAGAACCCAUCUAGCUUGAUUAAGUAUUCAAAUGUCCCAUGUACUGUACUAUCUGGUGCGUUUAAAUUGAAACUGCUUUCCCCUCAAUAAGGAGAGUAUAUGAAUGCUUUUCUAAAUUUUUCAAUAUUUAUCCUCUCAUAACAACAUCCAAUUCUUGCAUUAUUAUGUAUGCUGGAAAGGACUAUUAUCUGAGUGCCCUUGAGUUGUUGUUCGUGCUGGUGCAGACAACGUUCACAGCAUUUAUAACAAGGCAAAGAAAUGGACUGGUUCAUAUUGGGAUGAGUGUGCUAGCUUGCCAGCUAUUGUUCCGCAGGGACCCAUUGCAAUUUUUGGUUUGGGUGGCGGAACAGCUGCUCAUUUGAUGCUUGAUUUAUGGCCGUCAUUGGUGCUUGAAGGUUGGGAGAUUGAUGAAAUUGUAAGAAAAAUUUAUUUAUUUUAAU